CCUACGGGAGGCAGCAGUGGGGAAUCUUAGACAAUGGGGGAAACCCUGAUCUAGCCAUGCCGCGUGAUCGAUGAAGGCCUUAGGGUUGUAAAGAUCUUUCAGUUGGGAAGAUAAUGACGGUACCAACAGAAGAAGCCCCGGCUAACUCCGUGCCAGCAGCCGCGGUAAUACGGAGGGGGCUAGCGUUAUUCGGAAUUACUGGGCGUAAAGCGCACGUAGGCGGACUGGAAAGUCAGAGGUGAAAGCCCAGGGCUCAACCCUGGAACUGCCUUUGAAACUCCCAGUCUUGAGGUCGAGAGAGGUGAGUGGAAUUCCGAGUGUAGAGGUGAAAUUCGUAGAUAUUCGGAGGAACACCAGUGGCGAAGGCGGCUCACUGGCUCGAUACUGACGCUGAGGUGCGAAAGCGUGGGGAGCAAAACAGGAUUAGAUACCCUGGUAGUCCACGCCGUAAACGAUGAAUGCCAGUCGUCGGGUAGCAUGCUAUUCGGUGACACACCUAACGGAUUAAGCAUUCCGCCUGGGGAGUACGGCCGCAAGGUUAAAACUCAAAAGGAAUUGACGG
rnacentral:rRNA from 1 species